AAGAGUAUUAAUAGAUUAAAUUGUUAAAUGUUAGGAGUAAGAGAAAUCAAUAAAAAAGAUCAAGUUCGCACCAAGAUGUAUAGGUUGAUGGUAACUUUAUUUUGUUAUCAAUUUUACCGAAUGGAAAGUUACCUUUUCUUUAGCGGGAGAAAAAGUGAAAUGCAAUAGAAAUAAAUGAAGUCGAUGCAACUUUAUUUAACCCGUGAUUAACCUAAUGUCACUUGGAAAUCUCGUGCAAUUCAAUGAAUAAGAAAACUUGCGUACAAAGUAUGAUUACUUGUCAAGUCCUUGAGGUUUACCCUGAUUUGCCUAUAGCUUUGGAAAUUUACACCACCACCUAAUGAGAGUUAAUAUGGCAAUGUAUCUAGAACACCGUUGUAUAGUAGAAUAUAUUAAACUCUGCCAAUUAUUCGUAUUAUAUCAUGACACAUAAAAUAAUAACACUAUAUGACAUUAUUCUCGUACACAAAAACUUCUCAAUAUUGCUAGUUCAUUAUGUAUAUAUUUAUUCAAUCUACUGAUUCUAUUGAUUAAAACUUUGACAAGUUGCCAUAUUUGGGAUGAGUAGACUUCGAGCUAUGGUUUUCUUUAUUUAGUUAAUUAAUUUAGGUCGGGCAUUAUUGGAUUGAUAUACAGCCUUUGUCAAUACAAAACUGAAAUGCAACCUAAUCAACCACUUUGUUUAACUGCUUAUAAUUGUCUCUCCUUUCUUAAACCAGUUAUAUUUAAGAGUAAUGCUAAACAUAUUUUUCUUCACACACGUGUGGUUCUCAGCUACUGAUGUAUACGAGUUCCUCAAUGCAUAUAUCAGCGACAAAGAUAUAGAGCAUUCACGCUUGUUAGCACACCUCAUCAUUUAAUUAGCUAGACAAUAUUCCAUAAUUUGAUCUACAUAUAUGAAACCUUAGCCAAGUAUCCUAUAACUACCUUAUCAAACAGUUUACUUACUUUCAAAUAAUGUAAGUUACAAGGUGAUUUGCUACAGUCCAUUAAAGGUGGGGCAUAACCCUUACAAAGUGAUUUGCUACAUUCCGUUAAAGGUGGGCCAUAACCCACUAACCUGAGGAUGUAAGACAUGAUUAAUUUGACCUCAACAGGAGAUGACAAUGAGUUGUUCACUUACAUAACUCAUUCACAAGUUGAGUACCUUAUUCCCAGUCAAAGAUUCGGGUUCAUUACACUACUUCUUAGGAUUAUAAGUUCAUAGAUCCAAAGAUGAUCUUUUUCUUCAUCAAGUGUAAAUAUUUACUUGAUCCGC
rnacentral:lncRNA from 1 species